UCUUAGUAUUUGCAUUGUGCGAUUAAGUAAUAUCAAAUACCACUCAACCCAAAUGCACGUCCAUUAGUUAGUUACAUCAUUUCCACAUUGCACAAGACACUGAUUAAUAUAAGUUACUAUGGUGAAUAUGGCAUAAAUAUAGACAGAUCAUAUUUCCACUUAUACAUAAUGAGAUGUACUUACACCUUCUAUAAAAAGAGGAGAAGCACAAUUAGUAGCUCAUUCGCUACUUGGAUACCUAAGGUAUGUAACAUUACCCUACUUCUUUAGUAGGUUCUCUUUUUUUUUUUUUUUCUUAAUAUUUAUAAUUUUUAAUGGUAUGUUAGUUAGAAAUGUUAUGCAAAUCCCAUAUAAUUAUAAUUUAAAUUACAAAUCAUAUUAAAAAAAAAAAAACAACUGUUAUUUCUGUUCUUAUUAAGAUUAUUAUAACUUUAAACAUACAUUUUCUAGAAGUUCCUCUGAAUUAUUGAACACUUUAUACCGGCAACUAUCAAUGUUGUCGAUAUUUCUGUGGCACAAUACAAAAUAACUCAAACAGGUGCUAUUAUGGCUAAAUAAGAAACAAUCACCAUGGAAACCAAGAGUAGAAGUCUUAACUUUUAGCACUUUCCAAAAAACAUAGCACCUAUUUCACAGUGAUAGAUCUCCCCCAUUGUGCUUUUCCGCAAAGUUAUACGGUUGUGAAUUUAUUGUAAUUCUGUUUUUCUGUAAUUAGUUCUUCCGCAGUAAUAAAUUGAGAAAUUCUAAUUUUUAUUAUGUAUGGGCAAACUGUAGUCAUCUAAAACGUCUAUGAUCCUUUGAAAGGUUGUGUGCAAUAACUAAAUCUGGUAGAGGAACACAAAAACUGUAAAUUACGAUACCUAAAUCAGGGUUCAAAAAUUCCACUUGGAAUUGACCUCUUGUGUGCCAUGGAUCCUCCAGUCUUGCAGUGUUAAGUAACUGUUAGAUCCAGUCUAGUAAAGUAGGACUUUUUGAGCACUAGCUGAAAUUAACCACAGGUUGUCCAAGCCUGCCUUCAGAAAACACUUCUGUCAUAUUAGGCUAAUCAAAUCCUACAUGGAGAAGUUCACAGAGCUGACAAGUUUUAGAUUCAAUGAAAUUUAAUUUUGGUCAUGAUGAUGAAAUAUUCGUAGUUAACAGACUUGUGCACAGUGUAAACAUUUGGCUUGGCUGAAAUGAUUCUUCCAAAAAAGAAAUUUAAUUUUCAAAUCUGAAAUCUAUCCUUGUUUCAUUUUGGAUCAGACAAAUUUUGACCGUGCAAUAGUCUGGGGAAAAACAGUUUAGACCAAAAAAGGGGGGCAACAAUUGGCCAAUUUUUCACUGCUCCUCUAUUUUUUCCUUCUAUUGGUCACUUCUCACUUUAACUAAAAGCAACAUUUAGUGGCUGUACCCUAAUCAUUAAUCAUCUUUUUUCCCCAUUAGUUUAUUUUCUUUUGGUGCCAUAGAUAGAACUUCGAAUUAUGAAAAAAUAAUAGUUUGUCCAUUGUCCGUUUUGUGAGGCGGUCAUAUGGCAAUAUGAAGUUAUAAAGUUCAGAUGACCCACCAGUUGCCCAACAUUCAGAAAAAUCGCUGAUCAUUUAAAACCAAAUGCACAGGUUUAAUAGUUAGUCAGCAGCUAAAGGCAGAACAAAUGGUACAUAGUUACUGCUGCAUCCAGUGCUCAGAGUCAGGGAUCCACAGUAUUCUCUUAAGGUAUUACCAUAGUGCUGCAAUAAACUGUAGCAGUUCAAAUCCAAUAUUCAGAUGCACUUUAUUAAUACCUCACCAACAUACAGAGGGGUAUUUUAGUAUUGUCAGUUUUUUAUUCAAUUUUGAACUUUACUAACAUAAGAUUAUUUCCUUUAUUUUAAAGUCUGAACACCACCAUGUUUGAAAAACAGUCUCUUCUCCUGCUGAUAGCUAUUUCCCUGACUUGUAAAGCUCAGCAAAUUGAUAAGUGUGCUGGGAUCCCAGGUCUUCCUGGCACUCCAGGUGUGAACGGGGUUCCAGGCAGAGAUGGAAGGGAUGGCAUAAAGGGAAAUACUGGAUUACCAGGUAAAUUUAGCCAUAUUUCAUGCAAACUAGUCUGCAGGAAAAUAGUAAUAUAAAC
rnacentral:lncRNA from 1 species